rnacentral:rRNA from 2 species
AUACCGGCAGUUCGAGUGAUGGCCGAUAUUAUUGGGCCUAAAGCGUUCGUAGCUGGCCGAUCAAGUCUGUCGGGAAAUCUGUUCGCUUAACGAACAGGCGUCCGGCGGAAACUGGUCGGCUUGGGACCGGAAGACUCGAGGAGUACGUCCGGGGUAGGAGUGAAAUCCCGUAAUCCUGGACGGACUACCGAUGGCGAAAGCACCUCGAGAGCACGGAUCCGACAGUGAGGAACGAAAGCUGGGGUCUCGAACCGGAUUAGAUACCCGGGUAGUCCCAGCUGUCAACGAUGCCCGCUAGGUAUGGCGCAGGCUGCGAGCCUGUGCUAUGCCGUAGCGAAGGCGCUAAGCGGGCCGCCUGGGAAGUACGUUCGCAAGAAUGAA